rnacentral:rRNA from 1 species
GACGUAGGGCGCGAGCGUUGUCCGGAUUUAUUGGGCGUAAAGAGCGCGUAGGCGGCCAGAUAAGUCCGGUGUGAAAGUCACAGGCUCAACCUGUGAAUGCCGCUGGAAACUGUCUGGCUAGAGUCCGGAAGAGGAGAAUGGAAUUCCCGGUGUAGCGGUGAAAUGCGCAGAUAUCGGGAAGAACACCCGUGGCGAAGGCGGUUCUCUGGGACGGUACUGACGCUGAGACGCGAAAGCGUGGGGAGCGAACAGG